AUCUGCCGUAUAUGUUAAAAUGCCUAUGUUUUGUGUAAUUUACGGCUGUUCCAAUCGUUCUAACCGAGAAAAAGGAAAGGGGGUUUAUAGAGUUCCAAAGAUUGUCGUUCAUAAAGGUGAAAAAUGUAAAAAUCUCACAAAACAACGACGGAAAAAAGUGGAUUUUAAGCGUACGUCUGCCGCCGGGAGGAGCAAACUCUGCUAAUGCCCGCAGCGAUCACUUGGUCGGAGGCAUGUCUGCCACGAGAGCAGAUGAAGAUGUUUAAGAAAUACCAACAAACACGGUCGGAAUGUACAGAGGCUAUUGGAUCUCCAAUAGACAGCUGAGAGCCUGGAUCUGACGCAGACAGCCGAGAGCUCCGAACCGAAGCAGCCAGCUGACAACUACUCACAAUCAGAGGGCAUCAGUGGGAAUGGGACAUUAAAUGAUCAAGGCUAUGCAGAUGCCGGAUGCCAGACUGAGCUGAUGAUGGAUGACAUUGAGAAGAUGAAGCAUGUUCUGAGACAUAACACAACAGAACUGAGAGAUCUUUGGACCAAACCACUAAGAUGACAAAGUUCUAGACAGGGCUCCCCAACUUCUUAGUUUUAAUUCAGAUUUUUUAGCUGUGCAAACCCUACAUCACAUGUGGUCCUAUGUCUGUGCUGUCUAAAUUUGAAUAGUUCAUUUUAGUUUGCUAAAUAACGACCUUCACUGACAUCUUAAAACACAUCAGUGCCCUUUGUUUUGCUUUAAAAUGCACACAAGUAAUGUUUUUAGUAAGGCAUGUUUGUUAAAACUAGUUAUAUUUCAUAAUUAAACUAAGGCCUAGUCCUGGCUGAAAGAUUUAGCUUGAAGAUUUAUAAAUGCCUGUUAUUUGCUGUGUCUUGUCUAAUCUUUUGGAGUCUGUCAUCACAUUAGAGUAAUGAGGAGGGAGGGUCAUCAGUCACAUCAUGUGUUUUCAAAUGUAAUAUUUUUAUCCCCUAAUCUAAUUGUACUGGCAAUAUGUAUUAUAUGAAAUGAAAUGGAUGCCAAUGUAUUAUUGCACACCAUGUUCUUGUAGUUAGUAUAACAAUUGUUUAAAAAAUCUUGUAAAUAAACCAAUGGCAUUUAAUCACAACAAUAUUCAAAAUGUCAUCUUGUCUCAUACGACACUAUUGAUAUAACAGAAAUAUAUUACACAGCCUACUUUAAAGAGUGCUUGGAGUUCAUAUCCUUUCAUCACAUUACACAUGUAAGUUUGUAACUUGCUGUCGCGGUAUUUCUGGAAGUAUACAGUUUC